rnacentral:rRNA from 1 species
UACGUAGGGGGCAAGCGUUGUCCGGAAUCAUUGGGCGUAAAGCGCGUGUAGGCGGCCCGGCAAGUCCGCUGUGAAAGUCGGGGGCUCAACCCUCGGAUGCCGGUGGAUACUGUCGGGCUAGAGUGCGGAAGAGGCGAGUGGAAUUCCUGGUGUAGCGGUGAAAUGCGCAGAUAUCAGGAGGAACACCGAUGGCGAAGGCAGGUCUCUGGGCCACUACUGACGCUGAGAAGCGAAAGCAUGGGGAGCGAACAGG